GACGAACGCUGGCGGCGUGCUUAACACAUGCAAGUCGAACGGAAAGGCCCUGCUUUUGUGGGGUGCUCGAGUGGCGAACGGGUGAGUAACACGUGAGUAACCUGCCCUUGACUUUGGGAUAACUUCAGGAAACUGGGGCUAAUACCGGAUAGGAGCUCCUGCUGCAUGGUGGGGGUUGGAAAGUUUCGGCGGUUGGGGAUGGACUCGCGGCUUAUCAGCUUGUUGGGGGGGUAGUGGCUUACCAAGGCUUUGACGGGUAGCCGGCCUGAGGGGGUGACCGGCCACAUUGGGACUGAGAUGCGGCCCAGACUCCUACGGGAGGCAGCAGUGGGGAAUAUUGCACAAUGGGGAAGCCUGAUGCAGCAACGCCGCGUGCGGGAUGACGGCCUUCGGGUUGUAAACCGCUUUCGCCUGUGACGAAGCGUGAGUGACGGUAAUGGGUAAAGAAGCACCGGCUAACUACGUG
rnacentral:rRNA from 1 species